GGUUCCAUGGUGUAAUGGUUAGCACUCUAGACUUCAGCGUUCCGAGUUCAAAUCUCGGUGGAACCU